rnacentral:rRNA from 1 species
AGUGAACGCUGGCGGCGUGCCUAAUACAUGCAAGUCGAACGGAGAUUAAGUAGCUUGCUAUUUAAUCUUAGUGGCGCACGGGUGAGUAAUAUAUAGCUAACUUGCCCAUUACUAAGGGACAACAGUUGGAAACGACUGCUAAUACCUUAUACUCCGUAUCUAUAUAAGUAGAUACGGGAAAGUUUUUCGGUAAUGGAUAGGGCUAUAUCGUAUCAGCUAGUUGGUAAGGUAAUGGCUUACCAAGGCUAUGACGCGUAACUGGUCUGAGAGGAUGAUCAGUCACACUGGAACGGAGACACGGUCCAGGCUCCUACGGGAGGCAGCAGUAGGGAAUAUUGCUCAAUGGGGGAAACACUGAAGCAGCAACGCCGCGUGGAGGAUGACACUUUUCGGAGCGUAAACUCCUUUUCUUGGGAAAGAAUUAUGACGGUACCCAAGGAAUAAGCACCGGCUAACUCCGUG